rnacentral:lncRNA from 1 species
AAUAUUUUAAUUGAUUCGGAAGCGUGCGAGGCACUGCCCUAAGGCGUAUUCCCGUCCGUACGUGCGGGAUUAACCAAAAAUAACACCCCAAGGUACGACCGGAAUUUCUCUUCCUGCGAGCACGAUCGUGAAGGAGGUUGACGGAGACUCUUUCAACACCCAAUGAUAAAAAGAUCAAAACACAAUAAAAUAAAGAAUUUAAAUAAAGUUUCUACUUUCAUUUUUUCACUUAAAUUUCUCUCUCAGCACUGUUCAUUGAAGAUAACUAGUGCAAUCCAUUGUAUAUAUAAUGGAGAGAGAAUGACACGUUGGAAUUCCAACGUUCCCAACAUUAAUUCCACUUAAUUCAUGCCUUUAUGUGGAAGCGUGCGAGGCACUACCCUAAGGCAUAUUCCAGUCCUUACGUGCGGGAUUAACCGGAAAUAACACCCCAAGGUACGACCGGAAUUCCUUCUUCUGCGAGUACGAUCGUGAAGGAGGUUGACGGAGACUCUUUCAACACCCAAUGAUAAAAAGAUCAAAACACAAUAAAAUAAAAAAUUUAAAUAAAGUUUCUACUUUCAUUUUUUCACUUAAAUUUCUCUCUCAGCACUGUUCAUUGAAGAUAACCAGUGCAAUCCAUUGUAUAUAUAAUGGAGAGAGAAUGGUACGUUGGGAUUCCAACGUUCCCAACAUUAAUUCCACUUAAUUCAUGCCUUUAUGUGGAAUUAAGAAGAAAUAAAUCAAAUUUAAUUCAUCAAAUUAAUUAACAUAAUAAAUGAGAGUAAUUAUAAAAUUGAAUGAUAUUUAGAGAUUUUGGAUUUUCUCCAACAAUCCCCCACAAAAUUCAAAAUUACAAAAAAAUUAAACAAACAAAUAAAUAAAUCAUCGGGUGUUUAUACUAUGCAAUAGGCGAGGUGUCUUUAAGAGACUUAACCCCACUUAGUGUAAAUAGUUUCCAUCAGAAGGAAUCGGAGUGAACCAGAUCUUGAACUACGUUCCAUUGACCCCGACUUCAACUACUACACAUACAGUACAGAAUUCUCCGUCGCGGGUCUGUGCGUUAAUGGCCAUGCACAGUAUCUUGAUUUUUCAUAAGAGUUUUUAUGGAUAGCCCAUUCACAUAGCCGCGGCCAUAUACGGAUACUCUUAUAUAGGUGGUUUCCUCCAGGGAUAUAUGUAGAGUCACAUCUUGCGAAAAUUACCGCCUUGGAUCCCAUUAAGAGCUCUAAGCUCAACCUAAUCCACUACACAGAGCACCACUCACCAUAGGGAUGGGAUUGGAGCUAAAGCUCCUAUAAAUAAACUGUAGAAAGUGCUCUUUGGCCAACCUAGCAGCUUGUUUUUACUACGUUGAACCUUCUUUAAGGGAUCUCCUAUUACAAAGGUUGGGUUCCCACUACAGGAAGGCCCUUUAUGGGCAAAGUUUCAUCCUCCUCGAUGACUCUAGGACCUUAGUCCUAUUCAGACCUUUCGUCAAGCAAUCUGCAAGAUUCUGAUCAGAUCUGAUAAAACUCAAAUAAAUAACAUUAUGAAAAAUAACUAUCUAAUAAAUUUAUGUCAAUAUAAUUUAUUUGCCAACUUUAGAAUUUACUAAAUUAUUUUUCAAGAUGAACAUUCGCUAAAUCCAAAUAAAUAUUUUAAUUGAUUCGGAAGCGUGCGAGGCACUGCCCUAAGGCGUAUUCCCGUCCGUACGUGCGGGAUUAACCAAAAAUAACACCCCAAGGUACGACCGGAAUUUCUCUUCCUGCGAGCACGAUCGUGAAGGAGGUUGACGGAGACUCUUUCAACACCCAAUGAUAAAAAGAUCAAAACACAAUAAAAUAAAGAAUUUAAAUAAAGUUUCUACUUUCAUUUUUUC